CGGCAUUCAAGUUAAGUAAUUUUUGUUUUUAUAUUUGUUGGCUUUUAUUGAAUAUAAUUAUUUUAUUUUCAAGUUGAUUCCCUGGAUGUUGCGUUGGGAUGUCUUCUGGCUGCUUGCUUAGUUGCUGACAUAUGUACAUUUGUUAUGUACUUACAGUUAAUUUCAUACACCAUAUGUGUUUUGUUUAUUUAAAUUUUUAUGUUUAUGUUUUAAAUUUUGUUUUGUUUUCAGGUUUGCUGCAGAUUUGGUUUUCAUUUUGUAGGUUUGGUGGCAAAUUGUCGGCAUUCCAGUUAAGUGAUUUUUUGUUUUUAUAUUUGUUGGCUUUUAAUGAAUAUAGUUAUUUUAUUUUCAAGUUGAUUCACUGGAUGUUGCGUUGGGAUGACUUCUGGCUGCUUACUUAGUUGCUGACAUACAUAUGUAAAUUUAUUAUGUACAUACAGCUAAUUUCGUACACCAAUAUGUGUUUUAUUUAUUUAAUUGGCAGGUUUUGUCUUCAGCUUUGUAAUAAUUUGUAUGUAAUUUUGUGUAGUUUAUGUUGUUAUAUUUGUUGGCUCUUUUUUUUUUUAGGACUUUGGUUGUUUUAGUUUCAGGUUUGCGGCAGAUUUGGUAAGUGUUUUAAAUUGUAUUUUGGCUGAAUUUAAUUUUGUUUUAUUUACAGGUUUGGUAAUAGAGUGUCAUCAAUCAAGUUAGGUAAUUUAUGUUGUUAUAUUUGUUGACUUUUAAUGAGUAUAGUGUUUUAUUUUCAGGUUUAAAGAAAAUUGGUGUGAAAAAGAAAAAGUGAUUUCAAUUGUUUUUACGCCAAUUGUAAUUUUAUUUUAUCUGCAGUUUUAUUUUUUGCUGGUUUGGUGGUAAGGUGUCACGUACAAUGGCUGUUGCGCUUGAUGUCUACAACUUGUUUGCGUAUUUACUGACAUUGAUUGUUAUGUAAAUAGUUAUUUUGUACGUAUGUAUGUAUGUAUGUAUGUAUGAUAGAUUUGGUGGUAAGGUGUCAGUAAUCAUGAUAAAUUUGGUGGUAAGGUGCCAGUAAUCAAGGACCAGCUUAGAAUUUGUCGACAAAGUUGGGUGAAUCCAUGUAUGACGUGAGGGUCCUUCGCCACAUUUUAAUGCAGAUUUAUUCCAAUGUAAAUGAUUUUUCAAGCGUGUCUCUUGGAAGGGCUGUUACUCCUGAUGUCUACAAAUUGUUUGAGUUUUUCUAUUUUCAGAUUCAUGAUAAAUUUGGUGGUAAGGUGCCAGUAAUCAAGGACCAGCUUAGAAUUUGUCGACAAGGUUGGGUGAAUCCAUGUAUGACGUGAGGGUCCUUCGCCACAUUUUAAUGCAGAUUUAUUCCAAUGUAAAUGGUUUUUCAAGCGUGUCUCUUGGAAGGGCUGUUACUCCUGAUGUCUACAAAUUGUUUGAGUUUUUCUAUUUUCAGAUUCAUGAUAAAUUUGGUGGUAAGGUGCCAGUAAUCAAGGACCAGCUUAGAAUUUGUCGACAAAGUUGGGUGAUUCCAUGUAUGACGUGAGGGUCCUUCGCCACAUUUUAAUGCAGAUUUAUUCCAAUGUAAAUGUUAUUUCAAGCGUGUAUCUUGCGAAGGCUGUUGCUCCUGAUGUCUA